UGAAUAUGGGGGGACCAUCCUCCAAGGCUAAAUACUCCUGACUGACCGAUAGUGAACCAGUACCGUGAGGGAAAGGCGAAAAGAACCCCUGUGAGGGGAGUGAAAUAGAACCUGAAACCGUGUACGUACAAGCAGUAGGAGCACCUUCGUGGUGUGACUGCGUACCUUUUGUAUAAUGGGUCAGCGACUUAUAUUCAGUGGCAAGGUUAACCGUAUAGGGGAGCCGUAGCGAAAGCGAGUCUUAACUGGGCGCUCAGUCUCUGGAUAUAGACCCGAAACCGGGUGAUCUAGCCAUGGGCAGGUUGAAGGUUGAGUAACAUCAACUGGAGGACCGAACCGACUAAUGUUGAAAAAUUAGCGGAUGACUUGUGGCUAGGGGUGAAAGGCCAAUCAAACUCGGAGAUAGCUGGUUCUCCCCGAAAGCUAUUUAGGUAGCGCCUCGGACGAAUACUACUGGGGGUAGAGCACUGUUAAGGCUAGGGGGUCAUCCCGACUUACCAACCCUUUGCAAACUCCGAAUACCAGUAAGUACUAUCCGGG
rnacentral:rRNA from 1 species